GAAUGCUUGUAUAAAGUAAGCCAACUUGCUUAACCACUUCCAAUAUCUAGCCCUUCUCAACUAUAUAUAUAUAUAUAUAUAUAAGUAAUUAGGUAUAACAAAAACUUGGAAGAGAAGCUUCAAACCAAAUAAGCCAUGGAUAACAAAGAGAAUGCUGUGCCAACUGAUCAGGAACCUGAGGUGGUUCAAUACAGAGGGGUCAAAGCCAUGCCUCUUGUUAUAGGGAAUGAGACUUUUGAGAAGCUAGGGACUACUGGAACCUAAACAACUUCUUGGUGUAUUUGACUACCGUAUUCAACAUGAAAAGUAUUACAACUACAACUUUGAUCAACAUCUUCAAUGGUACAACAAAUUUUGCUACUCUUAUUGGAGCUUUUCUCUGUGAUAUUUAUUUUGGCCGCUACAAGACUUUGGGAUUUGCUUCUGUGGCUUCUUUCUUGGGAAUGCUGGCACUAUCACUAACAGCAGCAAUACCAAAACUACAUCCUCCAAACUGUGAAACAGAUGACAACAACACCAAAACAUUAAAAGAACAAGAAAAUUAUUUAAUGUGGAAAGAUAUUUCUUCAUUGAAUACUGAACUAGUACAUAUAGAAGACUUUAGUUACCAAGAUAAAGAUAGCACAUAUACACAUAAUUAUCUACACUAAACAACUUGAUUACAACAAAUAACUAUAUAUCAUGUGAGGGAAGAUGACUCAUUAUGCCCCCACAAGAUUAUUGAGCGUUUACAAACAUUAAUCUUGGACCUGUUAGAAAUAAAGGGAGAUCUAGACAGUGGUUGAGUGAGAAUAUUAGCAAGUUGAUGACCACUACUCACAUGAGCAACACGCAAAUAGCCAGAUGCUACUCGUUCACGCACAAAAUGGAAGUCAACACCAACAUGCUUCAUCUUAGAAUGAAAAACUGGAUUUGAGCAAAGGUAAGUGGCUCCCAAGUUAUCACAAUAAACCACUGGUGAGGUUGUCAAGCCAAUACCAAGUUCCUUGAGCAAAGAUUCAAGCCAACAGAUCUCCGCAGUGACAUUUGCUACGGCUCGAUACUCAGUCUCUGUGGAAGAUCUAGAAACUGAUUUUUAUUUCUUUGAUGUCCAAGAUAUAGGGUUGGCACCAAGAAACACAAUAUAGCCAGUGGUGGAGCAUCUAUCAUCCUUGUCCCCUGCCCAAUCAGCAUCCGAAAAUGCAUAUAAAACCAUAGGUGAAGAACGACGAAGAAAUAAACCAUGAUCACUUGUACCUUUUAAGUAGCGCAAUAGUCGUUUAACAACACUUCAAUGCACAUCAGUUGGAGAAUGCAUGAAUUGGGCAAGCUUGUUCACCGAGACGGAUAUGUCAGGCCGGGUUAUGGAUAAGUAUUGCAAACUGCCUACUAUUUUUCGAUAAUCA